rnacentral:rRNA from 1 species
GACGAACGCUGGCGGCGUGCUUAACACAUGCCAGUCGAACGGAAAGGCCCUGCUUUUGUGGGGUGCUCGAGUGGCGAAAGGGUGGGUAACACGUGAGUAACCUGCCCUUGACUUUGGGAUAACUUCAGGAAACUGGGGCUAAUACCGGAUAGGAGCUCCUGCUGCAUGGUGGGGGUUGGAAAGUUUCGGCGGUUGGGGAUGGACUCGCGGCUUAUCAGCUUGUUGGUGGGGUAGUGGCUUACCAAGGCUUUGACGGGUAGCCGGCCUGAGAGGGUGACCGGCCACAUUGGGACUGAGAUACGGCCCAGACUCCUACGGGAGGCAGCAGUGGGGAAUAUUGCACAAUGGGCGGAAGCCUGAUGCAGCAACGCCGCGUGCGGGAUGACGGCCUUCGGGUUGUAAACCGCUUUCGCCUGUGACGAAGCGUGAGUGACGGUAAUGGGUAAAGAAGCACCGGCUAACUACGUG